rnacentral:rRNA from 1 species
CAAGUCGAACGCGAAAGUCCCGCAAGGGAUCAGUAGAGUGGCAGACGGGUGAGUAACACGAUGGGUGACCUGCCUUCGAGCGGGGGAUAACGUCCCGAAAGGGACGCUAAUACCGCAUGACAUCCUGCCUUUGAAGAGGUGGAGAUCAAAGCUGCGGAUCGCAAGACGCAGCACUCGAAGAGGGGCCCGCGUCCGAUUAGCUAGUUGGUGGGGUAACGGCUCACCAAGGCAACGAUCGGUAGCCGGCCUGAGAGGGCGGACGGCCACACUGGGACUGAGACACGGCCCAGACUCCUACGGGAGGCAGCAGUGGGGAAUUGUUCGCAAUGGGCGCAAGCCUGACGACGCAACGCCGCGUGGAGGAUGAAGACCUUCGGGUCGUAAACUCCUUUCGAUCGAGACGAAUUCCCCUGGGGAGAACAGUCCCGGGGGUUGACGGUACCGAGAGAAGAAGCCCCGGCUAACUCCGUGCCAGCAGCCGCGGUAAUACGGGGGGGGCAAGCGUUGUUCGGAAUUACUGGGCGUAAAGGGCUCGUAGGCGGCCAACUAAGUCAGACGUGAAAUCCCUCGGCUUAACCGGGGAACUGCGUCUGAUACUGGAUGGCUUGAGGGUAGGAGAGGGAUGCGGAAUUCCAGGUGUAGCGGUGAAAUGCGUAGAUAUCUGGAGGAACACCGGUGGCGAAGGCGGCAUCCUGGACUACUACUGACGCUGAGGAGCGAAAGCCAGGGGAGCAAACGGGAUUAGAUACCCCGGUAGUCCUGGCCCUAAACGAUGAAUGCUUGGUGUGACGGGUAUCGAUCCCUGUCGUGCCGAAGCUAACGCAUUAAGCAUUCCGCCUGGGGAGUAC